rnacentral:rRNA from 1 species
GGAAGAGGUAGGUGGAAUUUCCGGUGUAGGGUAAAAUCCCGUAGAUAUCGGAAGGAAUACCAGAAGCGAAGGCGACCUACUGGGACAUUACUGACGCUGAGGCUCGAAAGCGUGGGGAGCAAACAGGAUUAGAUACCCUGGUAGUCCACGCCCUAAACCGAUGAACACUAGUCGUUACGGAGCUAGUCUCUGUAGUGACGCAGCUAACGCAUUAAGUGUUCCGCCUGGGGAGUACGGUCGCAAGAUUAAAACUCAAAGGAAUAGACGGGGACCCGCACAAGCGGUGGAGCAUGUGGUUUAAUUCGAAGAUACGCGAAGAACCUUACCAAGGCUUGACAUGUUAGGAAUCUUGUAGAAAUAUGAGAGUGCUAGCUUGCUAGAACCUAAACACAGGUGCUGCAUGGCCGUCGUCAGCUCGUGUCGUGAGAUGUUGGGUUAAGUCCCGCAACGAGCGCAACCCUCGUCCUUAGUUGCCAGCGGUUCGGCCGGGAACUCUAAGGAGACUGCCUGCGUAAGCGGGAGGAAGGUGGGGAUGAUGUCAGGUCAUCACGGCCCUUAUGCCUUGGGCAACACACGUGCUACAAUGGGACGUACAAAGAGUCGCAAUACCGCGAGGUGGAGCCAAUCUUAAAGACGUCUCUCAGUUCGGAUUGUAGUCUGCAACUCGACUACAUGAAGUCGGAAUCGCUAGUAAUCGUAGAUCAGCUAUGCUACGGUGAAUACGUUCCCGGGUCUUGUACUCACCGCCCGUCACACCAUGGGAGUUGAUAUAGCCUUAAGUCAGGAUGCUAACCGCAAGGAGGCUACUGCCC